ACACCCGACUUUUCUGCCUUGGUGUUUCAAGCUGAGCUAGGGCUGGGUGUGCUUCAGUGCCAGGUGCCUUGAACUGUGGUCACACUUUUGUCACCAGCACUCCGCCUUCCUUUCAACCGUCUCACAGGAUCACCCGCUGCCAGUCUGCUCCCUGCAUUGUUUUGACUUCUGUGUGGAGGCUUGUUGCUUUGAUGGGACCUUCCUUCACUUCUGUUCACUUUCAAGUCCCAGGGAGUCCAAGGUCAGCCCUCCAGGGGUUUAGUUCUAAGGGCUAUCCAGUUGGGUGAGACUGACUUCCUGUAAUGGACAGAAAAUAAUGGCAUUUUUUCCUUGACCCUACCAGGCACUGCCAAUACAAUUACUGCUCUUGUGGAGAUGAGGACUGGAGGGAUGAGGAACUUUCCAAAGGGCUAGGAAUCUGAAACAGAAGCAGGCUGUUUCCUGUUCAAGUCCGCCUGGUGCAGGACAGUAACAACUAUGAGGCAACUGGAGUUCAAGA
rnacentral:lncRNA from 1 species